rnacentral:rRNA from 1 species
GAUGAACGCUGGCGGCGUGCCUAAUACAUGCAAGUCGAGCGAACGGACGAGAAGCUUGCUUUUCUGAUGUUAGCGGCUGACGUGUGAGUAACACGUGGAUAACCUACCUAUAAGACUGGGAUAACUUCGGGAAACCGGAGCUAAUACCGGAUAAUAUUUUGAACCGCAUGGUUCAAAAGUGAAAGACGGUCUUGCUGUCACUUAUAGAUGGAUCCGCGCUGCAUUAGCUAGUUGGUAAGGUAACGGCUUACCAAGGCAACGAUGCAUAUCCGACCUGAGAGGGUGAUCGGCCACACUGGAACGGAGACACGGUACAGAGUCCUACGGGAGGAAGCAGUAGGGAAUAUUACGCAAUGGGCGAAAGCAUGACGGAGCAACGCCGCGUGAGUGAUGAAGGUCUUCGGAUCGUAAAACUCUGUUAUUAGGGAAGAACAUAUGUGUAAGUAACUGUGCACAUCUUGACGGUACCUAAUCAGAAAGCCACGGCUAACUACGUG